rnacentral:tRNA from 1 species
GGGUUGUUAGUUCAGUUGGUUUAGAGCAUUACCUUGACAGGGUAGGGGCACUUGUUCGAAGCGAGUACAAACCA